UUGAAAGAGAAAGAGAUGCGUUCAGCUAUGGAGUUCAGCAGCGUAAGAGGAUGUUACGCCCUAGGGGCAGUCCGUUGGCAAAUCGUGAUCCUCGAUCGAAGUCUCGUGCUCAGGAGAAUGAAGGGUACUUUAUCCUUGUUUGUUUACUCAGUAAAGUUACUUUAUGAUUCUGGCUGGGGUGGAUAUAUAUUGCUCUUCUUGUCCAACUCGUAAAAUUAUAUGUUCUGUCAUAUUUGUUCAUCUUUCGGUGGAGCCCAUAUUAUUAUAUUAAUUUUUCUUGUUCUUUUUUCCGUUUCAGGUCUCUAGGUAAGCUGGCAAAAUCAUUUACUGGAUAAGAGAAGUUAGCUUGCUCGUAUUUUGUUCAAUUCUAUUUUCGUCUUAAAUUAUCAUAUAUACUUUUAUUUUUAUGGUACUUUUGUUUUUCUGCUAAAUAUGCUACUUUUUUGGCCUCAAGCUAAGUUUAUUUUUAGAGUAGUAAUGUUUUUAGUUUAUUAAAUAUAUAGAUCCGUGAGGUGAGCGGCUAACUCUUUAACGCGCACAUACCAUAAAAAUCAAGAUCAUCAAAUUAUUUGUAAAUUAUUGAAGUACCAUAAUAGCAUUUAGAAAAACCCAAAUCUUAUAUCCUUUAAUUUAUCAAUUUCAAAAGAAAUUAGACCGACCCGAAAAAACCCAGUUACAAAACUACAAUUGAAAACCGAAACUGCUACUCCUAUUCAAAGUACCAAAUUGCACCUGUAGUAAUGUGGAAUGGCCAUGCAAAAUACGCUAUUGGACAAAAGUUCCCUGAGUCCUGUUUGUACUCUAACGUAAUUUGAUUAUCUGGGCUCUUCUAGUGGAAUAUAUCCAUAAGCAAAGCUCUCAUAUAAGAUCUAGUCAGAUCUAUCACCCUGAUCUAAGAGACUGAAAAAGCAGGUUUGCCUUUAAGAUCUGGUCUUAAGGAAGGUCUACGUGAAAAAUUACUAAUUGAAAAAUUGGUAAUAUUCUCCUCGAUCAGAAACUUUUCCGAUAAUCAUGGCUUACUAUUUGAGAUCUGGGGGUAAAUUCUGAUUUCCCAUUCUUAGCACUUCUGUAAUUUUCUUUAAGUGUAUACGAUGGUUGAUCUGAUGAUUAUCAAGAGAUGCAUUUCUGUAUUUAUCAUGUUACAAGGUUAUUAAUUUGUGAUUUUGGGAUUUACUGCUGCAGCAAAGCAUGAUGCUUCAGUUGUUACUUACAAAGUUGGUGAAUGUCUGCAAGAAUUGACAAAAUUGUGGAAGGAAUAUGAAUCCUCCCAAGCGGAUAAAUCUUCUGCAAGCCCCCCGAAUGGUCCUACACUGGAAAUCAGGAUACCCGCUGAGCAUGUUACUG
rnacentral:lncRNA from 1 species